rnacentral:rRNA from 1 species
UAGGGGGCAAGCGUUAUCCGGUUUUACUGGGUGUAAAGGGAGCGUAGACGGUUAGGCAAGCCAGAUGUGAAAGCCCGGGGCUCAACCCCGGGACUGCAUUUGGAACUGCGUAGCUUGAGUGUCGGAGAGGCAGGCGGAAUUCCUAGUGUAGCGGUGAAAUGCGUAGAUAUUAGGAGGAACACCAGUGGCGAAGGCGGCCUGCUGGACGAUGACUGACGUUGAGGCUCGAAAGCGUGGGGAGCAAA